UGGGGAAUAUUGGACAAUGGGCGAAAGCCUGAUCCAGCCAUGCCGCGUGUGUGAAGAAGGUCUUCGGAUUGUAAAGCACUUUAAGUUGGUAGGAAGGGCAGUAAGCGAAUACCUUGCUGUUUUGACGUUACCGACAGAAUAAGCACCGGCUAACUCUGUGCCAGCAGCCGCGGUAAUACAGAGGGUGCAAGCGUUAAUCGGAAUUACUGGGCGUAAAGCGCGCGUAGGUGGUUCGUUAAGUUGAAUGUGAAAGCCCCGGGCUCAACCUGGGAACUGCAUCCAAAACUGGCGAGCUAGAGUAGGGCAGAGGGUGGUGGAAUUUCCUGUGUAGCGGUGAAAUGCGUAGAUAUAGGAAGGAACACCAGUGGCGAAGGCGACCACCUGGGCUCAUACUGACACUGAGGUGCGAAAGCGUGGGGAGCAAACAGG
rnacentral:rRNA from 1 species